rnacentral:piRNA from 1 species
UAUUUCUGAAUUUUGUAGGAA